rnacentral:ncRNA from 1 species
CCAGUCAGACGAGCGGCAGGUUUAUGGCUUCGGCCGGAAUGAAAAGGGAACCGGGUGCAACUCCCGGACAGACGCGCUACUGUAAGUAACCAAUCGUCAGUGCUUUCCAGCCACAGCCCAUUGCCUGCCAACGCGGGUGAGAAGGGCGGAAAGCAUGUUACAAGUCAGGAGACCUGCCCGCCGCUCUUUAUGAUG